CCUACGGGAGGCAGCAGUGGGGAAUAUUGCACAAUGGGGGAAACCCUGAUGCAGCGACGCCGCGUGAAGGAAGAAGUAUCUCGGUAUGUAAACUUCUAUCAGCAGGGAAGAAAAUGACGGUACCUGACUAAGAAGCCCCGGCUAAUUACGUGCCAGCAGCCGCGGUAAUACGUAAGGGGCAAGCGUUAUCCGGAUUUACUGGGUGUAAAGGGAGCGUAGACGGAUGGACAAGUCUGAUGUGAAAGGCGGGGGCCCAACCCCCGGACUGCAUUGGAAACUGCCCGUCUUGAGUGCCGGAGAGGUAAGCGGAAUUCCUAGUGUAGCGGUGAAAUGCGUAGAUAUUAGGAGGAACACCAGUGGCGAAGGCGGCUUACUGGACGGUAACUGACGUUGAGGCUCGGAAGCGUGGGGAGCAAACAGGAUUAGAUACCCGAGUAGC
rnacentral:rRNA from 1 species